UUUUUUAUUUAAACAAAAAAAAAAAAAAAGAGAGAGAUGUUUUAAAAAUGCAAGCGGCUUGCCCAGCUGCACACACCCGCCCUCCCUCGGCCGCCUCCCUCCCCCGGCUGCGCACACACCGCACGCUCGCACCCGCUCGGGUGUCAAACCCCGCCGGGCACCCAGCCUGGUGCGGGCACUGCCCCGGCCCCCCCGGCUGCUCCCAGCGCCGCCGAUCGGAGCCUCCCCCGCUUCCAAAUGGGCUGCUGGUUUUAAGCACAAAUUCUUCCUCUCUGGAACUUUCCUGGUUGGGAAGGAGGUUCUGGCAUGCCAGGAGACCCUCUGGUGUACCCCCACAUGUAACAGUGAAAUCCAUGGUACUUCUGUGAGCAAGUCAUGCAUUUUUUUCUCUUCUGUUUUUCUGUUGUUCACCCAAUGCUCUGGCACUGUGUUUGAAUAUAUGAGGGCAUUACAACCAAUUAAAAAAAAAAAAAAAAAAAAAAAAGAUAAUUUCCAAGAUGAAAGAGGAAUCUCUGCUUUCCAUGGUGAGCGUGCUGCAAUUGUUUUUAUUUAACAGCUCUUCCCACACUGCAGUCAAUGAAUCCCUAAUCUCCUGGACUGAAAUGUCUGACACUUCUAGAAUCAUUUAUUUGCUGCCUCGACUCGCAGAGCUCCACCUACAGCAGUGUCUCGGCAGUGGGCUGGUGGUGUAUUUGAUAUAAAUGUCUGCUCUUUAGGGGGGUGGGAGGGAUGGAAGGAUGAACACGGGCUCUGCUGUGCAAUGUGUGCCUCUCACGCCACCCUUUAAGCGAGGGGUAUCUCCAGCAGCAGCUGCUGAAGGAUCUGAGGGAUGAGGAGUGGAUGAGUCUGGCUGAGUUUAUUCCUUGCUGCUGAAUAAACUGAGUUUAUUCCAUGGCUGCUCCUGCCAAACACCAACGCUGACCAAGCCCUGGUGCUCUUUGCUGCUGCAUCCCUCUGGAAGGUGGACAGAAGGGGUGGCCUGUGUGGCAAAGACGAGGAGAAGCUCAGCUCCUGAGAGAAGUCUCCAAACUGCUCCCUCUGGCUGCUCCAAGAAGCUGAACUUUCCCUGGAAGCUGUGGCUGGUGCUCCCAGACCAUUACACACUUCUCACUUGACUGCCCUGCUGGGAGCUGCACUUUUAGGAUGAAUUAUGCAAGAAAUGCUGUGAAGCAUCAGAAAUGCUGAGGAUUGAGAAGAGUCCUCCCAGGGUAUGAACUCAUUUGUGGAUAAAGUCUGACACUCACCUGGAUUCCAACUCCUCCAGAAAAGGACAUGAGGUGUGGAAAGGAUCACAAAUUAAUCAGUGGACUUUGGUUUUGCUUUGGUGUGCUUGUAUCAUGUCUGAACAUGCAAAGAACUUGGUUUUCCACAAGGAAUCCAGUAAAUGGCACCUCUGUAAAUCAGUUA